CUUGUUUUGCAGUGGACCUCUUGAAAUGCUACACCUGCACUGACUUGACAGAUGAAUCUAAUUGUAAAGAUAUAACAGUCUGUGGGUAUGGUGACAAGUUCUGUAAAACCACUUACAAACUAACUGGAACUGUUGUCACCGUCAGCAAGGGAUGUGCAUCAACUUGUACUGUAACAACAGCUUUCCCGCGAGAUGAGUGCUGUGAGGGAGAACUGUGUAACGAUAAAUUGAUUUGCUUCAAAUGUGCUGAAACAACCGAUGAAAGUUCCUGUACUUCGAGUCCAUGUGCAGCUGAAGCAUUCUGCAAGAGUGACUACAAACUGAACGGGGCAGGUAAGAGCUUCUCCUUCAUUUGGGGUUUCUAUUCUUUGUGUUUCCAGUUUGGUGCUUGUGAAUUCCAGCUGGUGAACGGAGGCCGUUGAGAGCAGUUGUGUUCAUGUCUAAGGAGUCCAUUCCUAGCAAUCCUUUUCGUAAUCCUCAAAUCUAACAUCACAUACACCUCACUGCUUCAUUGCUACUUUGCAGCCACAUUUCCCAUGUUUAGAGAUUUAAAAUACAUAACUUUAUUAUCAUCAACUGACUAUUAUUAAGCAUGGUAGAGCCCUGUUUUAGAAUAACGGAACACAUAACUUUGUACAGUAACUUAUGCCUCACAUAUUAACCUUCAGUGGACACUUUCUUUUUUCAAGAGCAUGCAAUAUUGUCCCACAUGGAAAAAUAAAAGCAGUAUGCUGGUACCGUAAUAUGUACAUGUUAGUGUAGAGUCACCGAGGAUUUGAUUCUGUAUAAAUGCCCUGCUUAUUGAUUUGUCAGAAUCACUGAUUUGGCACUAGCUGGUUCUGUCACCACUAACCUUGCUUUUCUCCACCUUACAGGAGUGCCUGUUGUCACUAAGUCCUGUGCAGCUGAUUGCAAAGCUGUUGACAAUACAGCAGACAAAAACGUGAGGACAACUUGCUGCAAAACAGUCUAUUGUAAUGGAAAUGCCUUGAGUUGCAACACUUGUACUAAUGAAGCUGACGAACCAAAAUGUGCAGCAACAGCCUGCGCUGCAGCUGACAAACUAUGUCAGAGCACUUAUACCCUCACUG